GGCCAAUAGCUAAGUGGUUUGAGCAUUUGUCUGUGACAUUGAAGGUUGUCGGUUGAAGCCCUACUGUGGCUG